GGUGGUGCAUGGUUGUCGUCAGCUCGUGUCGUGAGAUGUUGGGUUAAGUCCCGCAACGAGCGCAACCCUUAAGCUUAGUUGCCAGCAUUCAGUUGGGCACUCUAAGGUGACUGCCGGUGACAAACCGGAGGAAGGUGGGGAUGACGUCAAAUCAUCAUGCCCCUUAUGACCUGGGCUACACACGUGCUACAAUGGACAGUACAAACGGUUGCCAACCCGCGAGGGGGAGCUAAUCCGAUAAAACCGUUCUCAGUUCGGAUUGUAGGCUGCAACUCGCCUACAUGAAGCCGGAAUCGCUAGUAAUCGUGGAUCAGCAUGCCACGGUGAAUACGUUCCCGGGUCUUGUACACACC
rnacentral:rRNA from 1 species